rnacentral:rRNA from 1 species
UACGAACUGUGCAAACGUUAUUCGGAAUCACUGGGCUUAAAGGGUGCGUAGGCGGCUGUCUAAGUAGGGUGUGAAAGCCCCCGGCUCAACCGGGGAAUUGCGCCCUAAACUGGAUGGCUGGAGUGAGGCAGGGGUGUGUGGAACUUCCGGUGGAGCGGUGAAAUGUGUUGAUAUCGGAAGGAACGCCGGUGGCGAAAGCGACACACUGGGUCUCAACUGACGCUGAGGCACGAAAGCCAGGGGAGCGAACGGG